rnacentral:rRNA from 1 species
CAAGUCGAACGCGAAAGUCCCCCUCGGGGGGCAAGUAGAGUGGCGCACGGGUGAGUAACACGUAGGUAAUCUACCUUUGGAUUGGGAAUAACAACCGGAAACGGUUGCUAAUACCGAAUAAUGCAGCGGCACCUAAUGGUGACAGUUGUUAAAGCGGGGGAUCGCAAGACCUCGCGUCUGAAGAGGAGCCUGCGGCAGAUUAGCUAGUUGGUAAGGUAACGGCUUACCAAGGCUAUGAUCUGUAGCCGGCCUGAGAGGGCGGUCGGCCACACUGACACUGACAUACGGGUCAGACUCCUACGGGAGGCAGCAGUCGGGAAUUUUGGGCAAUGGGCGCAAGCCUGACCCAGCAACGCCGCGUGAAGGAUGAAAUCCUUCGGGAUGUAAACUUCGCAAGAACGGGAAGAAUAAGUAAGAGUUAAUAUCUCUUACGAUGACGGUACUGUUUGUAAGCUCCGGCUAACUCCGUGCCAGCAGCCGCGGUAAUACGGGGGGAGCAAGCGUUGUUCGGAUUUACUGGGCGUAAAGGGCGCGUAGGCGGCCACCGCAAGUCGACUGUGAAAUCUCCGGGCUUAACCCGGAAAGGUCAGCCGAUACUGCGGGGCUAGAGUGCAGAAGGGGCAACUGGAAUUCUCGGUGUAGCGGUGAAAUGCGUAGAUAUCGAGAGGAACACCUGCGGCGAAGGCGGGUUGCUGGGCUGACACUGACGCUGAGGCGCGAAAGCUAGGGGAGCGAACGGGAUUAGAUACCCCGGUAGUCCUAGCCUUAAACGAUGAAUGCUUGGUGUCUGGGGUUUUAUAGUCCCCGGGUGCCGUC